ensembl:lncRNA
GGGUUGAAAUCUGUAAACGCAUACUCAUCACGCUUUAGGUUGACAUGUCUGACAGAGAUUUUACUCUCCUUUUUUGCCUUUCUCUAACACUUCAACAUGUAUGCACUGGAUUCCAGGUGUGGACACUAUUGCAGUACAACAGCAAAGACAACAACUCAGUCAAUAUAAUAUGUCAACAUAAUGCACUGGAAAACUGGACUAUUCGUGCCGAAGUGCUCAUGAAUAAUGAAAACUUUUGCAAUGCAAAGCAAAACAACACAGCAUGUGAAAUGAGACAAGAAGGAAAACAGUUCAAUUUUACACUGAAAAUUACUGCUGAGCAAAGAAGACUUCCUUUUAAUUGUUUGGUUUACAAAAGUGGACCACUCCCCAUCCAAUUGAGAAAGGGAGAAGAAAUGAUGCUGUUCCCAGCAAAAUUGGUUCAGACCCAAGAAGAAAGUGAAAGUGCAGGGAGCAGACAAGAAUGCAGAAUACAUGGAUAUGCGUAAGGUGCAUCACCAAGCACAACCCAUCAGAGACAUGAACCACAACUCUCGCCUGAAUCCUGUGGGC